rnacentral:rRNA from 1 species
UAGGCCGGGCGGGGGGUCUU